rnacentral:rRNA from 1 species
AGAGGCAGAUGGAAUUGGUGGUGUAGGGGUAAAAUCCCUAGAGAUCACCAGGAAUACCCAUUGCGAAGGCGAUCUGCUGGAACUCAACUGACGCUAAUGCGUGAAAGCGUGGGGAGCAAACAGGAUUAGAUACCCCGGUAGUCCACGCCCUAAACGAUGUAUACUAGUUGUUGCUAAGCUAGUCUUGGCAGUAAUGCACCUAACGGAUUAAGUAUACCGCCUGGGGAGUACGGUCGCAAGAUUAAAACUCAAAGGAAUAGACGGGGACCCGCACAAGCGGUGGAGCAUGUGGUUUAAUUCGAAGAUACGCGAAGAACCUUACCCGGACUUGAUAUCUAACAAAUCAUCUAGAGAUAGAAGAGUGUCUGCUUGCAGAAAUGUUAAGACAGGUGCUGCACGGCUGUCGUCAGCUCGUGUCGUGAGAUGUUGGGUUAAGUCCCGCAACGAGCGCAACCCACGUCAUUUAUUUGCUAACAGUUCGGCUGAGCACUCUAAUGAGACUGCCUUCGUAAGGAGGAGGAAGGUGUGGACGACGUCAAGUCAUCAUGGCCCUUAUGUCCCGGGGCGACACACGUGCUACAAUG